rnacentral:lncRNA from 1 species
AUGGCUAAGUCCCCGUGCUUCAGGCCACUCACCAAGAGCUACCUGGCCUUCAGGGGCAGCACAGGGCGGAUCUCACCAGACCCAGAGACCUGGGGACUUGAGAUGAGCGGGAGCCCAGGGCAGAUCUCCUGGACACUGGACCCCAGACACUUGGGGCCACCGAGUCCAGGACAGGUCCAGUUAGGCCCGGCCACCACUAUUGGGGCCCAACAGGAGGAGAGCCGGGCAGAGGACUUCAUGGUGAGGACGGCACUGGCAGGCAUGCAGCGCCCCCUGAGGGAGCCCCCGGAAUGGGACUUCCUGGACAGCCGCCCCAUCCACAUGGACUCCCUCCUGGACCCCUCUGGGGCCUGCAUUCCCGCCCUGCAGGAGGGGAUGGUGCGAAGGUCCUCCUUCUUUGUCCUCUACUUCUUGGUGGAGUUGCACUCCCAGGAGAAUCCACCAGCUGAACUCCUGGCCCAGCUGGAGCAAGCUGAGCCCACUGAGGCACAGCCCACGGGACCAGCUCCAACCCCAGCUGAAGUCCCACGUGCGGAGCCCGAGCCAGCUCCACCUGCAGCUUCCUGCCCAGCGCUGGGACCACAGCCAGAGUCCAUGGCAGCCCCUUCACCUGCUGCAGUGCUGGGGGAGCCGGUGGUUGCACGGUGGUCGGUGUCACCUCCUGAGCUCUGCCUGGGGCCAGCUCCUGGCCCCCUCCCACUGUUCCCCUUACUUACGCUGGCUCUUGUUUUGGUAUUUACACUUGCCCUUAUUUCUUGGAUUUAUAUAAAUAAUAGAACUAGCUUUUAAUAAAACUUAAACUUUUAGUGUUUAAAAGGGU